UUUGCUUUUGCCCAUUUUGAAUCACAUGAAUUAUUACAGUGUUUAUCCUUUCAUAUAGUUAGCUAAUAAAAAGCUUUUGUCUACACACCCUGCAUAUCAUAUGGGGGUAAAGUUAAGUUGAGAUAGUUUUCAUCCAUAACUGAACAUCCAAAAUCUUGAUCAGUUAAGAAAUUUCACAUAGCCCACUUACAUUUACAAACUGAAGAGUAAUCAAUCUACUCAAAGCAUGGGAU
rnacentral:lncRNA from 1 species